rnacentral:misc_RNA from 1 species
UACAAAUCGUAAAAAGAAAUUUUUACGGAUCUGGAUUUUCCAAAGUUCUAUUUUGGUAAUCUAAAAUUUAUCAUAACAAUAGGUGAUAUUGGAAAUGUUUAUCUUUAAUUCAUUAACAAUUAUUACCAAUUUGUUACGUUGUGUUAUCUCCUAAUUCUUAAUUAGGUAAAAGUAAUAUAAUUUGAA